AGAGUUCGAUUCUGGCUCAGGAUGAACGCUGGCGGCGUGCCUAACACAUGCAAGUCGAGCGAAGUUUUAGAAAAGCUUGCUUUUCGAAGAACUUAGCGGCGGACGGGUGAGGAACACGUGGGUAAUCUGCCCUGUACAACGGGAUAACAGCGAGAAAUUGUUGCUAAUACCGUAUAAACUCGUAAGAUGGCAUCAUCAAUCGAGAAAAGAUUUAUCGGUACAGGAGGGGCCCGCGGCUGAUUAGCUAGUUGGAGAGGUAACGGCUCACCAAGGCAACGAUCAGUAGCCGACCUGAGAGGGUGAUCGGCCACAUUGGAACUGAGACACGGUCCAA
rnacentral:rRNA from 1 species